AACCAUAGAAACCUGCGGAGUACCUGCGGAGGGAUCAUUACCGAGUGCGGGUCCUCGUGGCCCAACCUCCCACCCGUGACUAUUGUACCUUGUUGCUUCGGCGGGCCCGUGCCCGCCGGAGACCCCAACAUGAACCCUGUUCUGAAAGCUUGCAGUCUGAGUGUGAUUCUUUGCAAUCAGUUAAAACUUUCAACAAUGGAUCU
rnacentral:misc_RNA from 1 species